GAUCCCGCUGAACUUAAGCAUAUCAAUAAGCGGAGGAAAAGAAACCAACAGGGAUUGCCCUAGUAACGGCGAGUGAAGCGGCAACAGCUCAAAUUUGAAAUCUGGCGUAAGCCCGAGUUGUAAUUUGUAGAGGAUGCUUCUGGGUAGCGGCCGGUCUAAGUUCCUUGGAACAGGACGUCAUAGAGGGUGAGAAUCCCGUAUGUGACUGGCUUGCACCCUCCACGUAGCUCCUUCGACGAGUCGAGUUGUUUGGGAAUGCAGCUCUAAAUGGGAGGUAAAUUUCUUCUAAAGCUAAAUACCGGCCAGAGACCGAUAGCGCACAAGUAGAGUGAUCGAAAGAUGAAAAGCACUUUGGAAAGAGAGUUAAAAAGCACGUGAAAUUGUUGAAAGGGAAGCGCCCGCAACCAGACUUUGCGGCGGUGUUCGGCUGGUCUUCUGACCGGUUUACUCGCCGCCGUGAGGCCAUCAUCGUCUGGGACCGCUGGAUAAGACCUGAGGAAUGUAGCUCCCUUCGGGGUGUGUUAUAGCCUCUGGUGAUGCAGCGCGUCUCGGGCGAGGUCCGCGCUUCGGCAAGGAUGAUGGCGUAAUGGUUGUCGGCGGCCCGUCUUGAAACACGGACCAAGGAGUCUAACAUCUAUGCGAGUGUUCGGGUGUCAAACCCCUACGCGUAAUGAAAGUGAACGGAGGUGGGAACUUUUUGUGCACCAUCGACCGAUCCUGAUGUCCUCGGAUGGAUUUGAGUAAGAGCAUAGCUGUUGGGACCCGAAAGAUGGUGAACUAUGCCUGAAUAGGGUGAAGCCAGAGGAAACUCUGGUGGAGGCUCGCAGCGGUUCUGACGUGCAAAUCGAUCGUCAAAUUUGGGUAUAGGGGCGAAAGACUAAUCGAACCAUCUAGUAGCUGGUUCCUGCCGAU
rnacentral:rRNA from 1 species